UUGGAGGGCAAGUCUGGUGCCAGCAGCCGCGGUAAUUCCAGCUCCAAUAGCGUAUAUUAAAGUUGUUGCAGUUAAAAAGCUCGUAGUUGAAUUUCGGGAUUGACGUGAUGGUCAUGCCUUAAGGGGUAUGAACUGUUACAGUUGAUUUCUCACCUUCUGGAGAAACAUGAUGUCCUUUAUUGGGUGUCUUGCGGAUCCAGGACCUUUACCUUGAAAAAAUUAGAGUGUUUAAAGCAGGCAUUUUUGCUCGAAUACAUUAGCAUGGAAUAAUAGAAUAGGACGGCAUGGUUCUAUUUUGUUGGUUUCUAGGAUCACCGUAAUGAUUAAUAGGGAUAGUUGGGGGCAUUAGUAUUCGAUUGUCAGAGGUGAAAUUCUUGGAUUUAUUGAAGACUAACUACUGCGAAAGCAUUUGCCAAGGAUGUUUUCAUUAAUCAAGAACGAAAGUUAGGGGAUCGAAGACGAUCAGAUACCGUCGUAGUCUUAACCAUAAACUAUGCCGACUAGGAAUCAGACGAUGUUAAUUUUUUAAUGACUCGUUUGGCACCUUACGGGAAACCAAAGUGUUUGGGUUC
rnacentral:rRNA from 1 species